rnacentral:tRNA from 1 species
GGGGUGCUGGCUCAAUGGUAGAGCGCCUGCUUUGCACGCAGGAGAUUCGGGGUUCGAUUCCCUGGCACUCCA